GGGUUCGAUUCCGGAGAGGGAGCCUGAGAAACGGCUACCACAUCUACGGAAGGCAGCAGGCGCGAAAAUUGCCCAAUCCUGAUUCAGGGAGGCAGUGACAAGAAAUAACAAUACCGGGCCUUUACAGGUCUGGUAAUUGGAAUGAGUACAAUUUAAAUCCCUUAACGAGGAUCCACUGGAGGGCAAGUCUGGUGCCAGCAGCA
rnacentral:rRNA from 1 species